rnacentral:rRNA from 1 species
AUUGAACGCUGGCGGCAGGCCUAACACAUGCAAGUCGAGCGGACGAGGGGGCUUUGUUCCUGGAUUCGGCGGCGACGGGUGGAGAAAUGCCUAGGAAUCCGCCGGGAAGGGGGGAAAAACGUCCGGAAACGGGCGCUAAUACCGACUACGUCCUGAGGGAGAAAGGGGGGGGUCUUCGGCCCUCACGCUACCAAUUGAGCCUAGGCCGGAUGAGCUAGUGGGUGGGGUAAAGGCCUACCAAGGCGACGAUCCGUAACUGGUCUGAGAGGAUGACCACUCACACUGGAGCUGAGACACGGUCCAGACUCCUACGGGAGGCCGCAGUGGGGAAUAUUGGACAAUGGGCGAAAGCCUGAUCCAGCCAUGCCGCGUGUGUGAAGAAGGUCUUCGGAUUGUAAAGCGCUUUAAGUUGGGAGGAAGGGCAGUAAGUUAAUACCUUGCUGUUUUGACGUUACCAACAGAAUAAGCACCGGCUAACUUCGUG